rnacentral:lncRNA from 1 species
AGAUCUGUAAGUUUAUUUGCUCAAUGUACGACAGCUACAUAAUGACUCACAUUCAUGAUAUUCCAUCACUGAGGAAAACUGCUAAGAAUGGUCCGUGUGUGAAAGAAUUCCUUAGAGAAACACGGAGUUGGAAAAAAAGAACCACUGAUUAGACCUUAAAAAUAGUUCACUGCAUAACAUGACAAAAAGCACAAAGGCUCAUUCAGAGAACAUAUUCAGUGUUCUCCUACACUGUAAUAGUUAUAAUUUCACCAUGACAAACACCAGACAUUAAGAUUAAGCUAACACUGGUGUUUCUUUUGCUCCCCCCCAAAAAAACAAAAUGUAUAACUGCAUGUCACUAUAGCAACAUCCAAAACAGAUCAAUUUGUUACGAUCACUAUUUGGUAGAGCAAACUUUACCCCCAAAAGGUUAAAUAUCAAGUCUCCUAUUCCCUCUUCAUUUUUUUUUUAGCCCUCAGAUGUGGUUUUUAUCUUGCAUUAUUCUAAAAAGCAGCCAGAGCCAAAGCUGAAAUUUAAAAGGAAAAUAGGUUUUGUAAUUCCAGUAAAUCAUUCCCAAAUGCUACAAGGGAAGGACACAGCACUGCUCACUGGACAUGA